UUAUGAUUUUUUUCUUAUUAUUUUUUAAUUUUUUUUGUGCUUUGGAAGUUGUGUUACUUGUUUAUGAAUGGAUGUUGGGAUUGUAAAUGAUUUUUUGUUUGAUUUGUGUAAGUUGCAUGUGGGUCCUUUUGCUUUGGAAAGAAGGAUUCUUUUUUCUUUAUUAUCUUUUCUAAUGACAAGCAGAAAUUGCGGUUGAGUUUGCUUUUUUGUUUACCAAGCAAGUCUUUGCAAUUGAACAGAGUUUGCUGUGCUUUAGAUUUUUAUGCAUAUAAUAUUACAUAAAUCUCAACACCCAUUUUGGCUGUUAGCUCCAAGCUAUUAUUGCUUUUCACUUUUUAUUUUUUCAGCGAAGGAAAAAAAAAUAUGAGAAUGGAGGAAUUAUAAAUGAAUUUGACAUUCAUCAUUCCAAAUGUUAAGUCUUUGUAUACAUUUUUCCAAUGCCAUAAUCAACCUUAUUAAAAUCUCCUACAAUUUAUGCUAUUACACAAGAUUUUCCCUUCUUUCUGAUAAGCUUUUUUUUUCCCCC
rnacentral:lncRNA from 1 species